rnacentral:rRNA from 1 species
AUGCACGCUGGCGGCGUGCCUAAUCCCUGCCAGUCGAGCGAACAGAUAAGGAGCUUGCUCCUCUGACGUUAGCGGCGGACGGGUGAGUAACACGUGGAUAACCUACCUAUAAGACUGGGAUAACUUCGGGAAACCGGAGCUAAUACCGGAUAAUAUAUUGAACCGCAUGGUUCAAUAGUGAAAGACGGUUUUGCUGUCACUUAUAGAUGGAUCCGCGCCGCAUUAGCUAGUUGGUAAGGUAACGGCUUACCAAGGCAACGAUGCGUAGCCGACCUGAGAGGGUGAUCGGCCACACUGGAACUGAGACACGGUCCAGACUCCUACGGGAGGCAGCAGUAGGGAAUCUUCCGCAAUGGGCGAAAGCCUGACGGAGCAACGCCGCGUGAGUGAUGAAGGUCUUCGGAUCGUAAAACUCUGUUAUUAGGGAAGAACAAAUGUGUAAGUAACUAUGCACGUCUUGACGGUACCUAAUCAGAAAGCCACGGCUAACUACGUG